ACCGUCCUUAUCUGGGGGUUGCGUGGCUGCCCAAUGAGCGAAUGGCGAGGGCAGCACUGCUAACGCCUUGAGCAACACAUUCAGCGCCCGCCCCGUGCGUGGCGCAAUUUUUGGAACC